rnacentral:rRNA from 1 species
UACGUAGGUCCCGAGCGUUAUCCGGAUUUACUGGGUGUAAAGGGAGCGUAGACGGCUUUGCAAGCCAGAUGUGAAAGCCCGGGGCUCAACCCCGGGACUGCAUUUGGAACUGUAUGGCUGGAGUGUCGGAGAGGCAGGCGGAAUUCCUAGUGUAGCGGUGAAAUGCGUAGAUAUUAGGAGGAACACCAGUGGCGAAGGCGGCCUGCUGGACGAUGACUGACGUUGAGGCUCGAAAGCGUGGGGAGCAAACAGG